AUUGAACGCUGGCGGCAGGACUAACAAAUGCAAGUCGAACGAGUGGCGGAAGGGUGAGUAAUGUCUGGGAAACUGCCUGAGGGAGGGGGAGAACUAAUGGAAACGGUAGCUAAUAACGCAUACCAUAAGAUGUGCCCAGAUGGUAUUAGCUAGGUGGUGUGGUAACGGCUGACCAAGGCGACGAUCCCUCGCUGGUCUGAUAGGAUGACCAGCCACACUGGCACUGAGACACGGUCCAGACUCCUACGGGAGGCAGCAGUGGGGAAUAUUGCACAAUGGGCGCAAGCCUGAUACAGCCAUGCCGCGUGUAUGAAGAAGGCCUUCGGGUUGUAAAGUACUUUCAGCGGGGAGGCGUUACCCGCAGAAGAAGCACCGGCUAACUCCGUGCCAGCAGCCGCGGUAAUAC
rnacentral:rRNA from 1 species